GAGAGUUUGAUCCUGGCUCAGAUUGAACGCUGGCGGCAGGCCUAACACAUGCAAGUCGAACGGUAACAGGAAGCAGCUUGCUGCUUUGCUGACGAGUGGCGGACGGGUGAGUAAUGUCUGGGAAACUGCCUGAUGGAGGGGGAUAACUACUGGAAACGGUAGCUAAUACCGCAUAACGUCGCAAGACCAAAGAGGGGGACCUUCGGGCCUCUUGCCAUCGGAUGUGCCCAGAUGGGAUUAGCUAGUAGGUGGGGUAACGGCUCACCUAGGCGACGAUCCCUAGCUGGUCUGAGAGGAUGACCAGCCACACUGGAACUGAGACACGGUCCAGACUCCUACGGGAGGCAGCAGUGGGGAAUAUUGCACAAUGGGCGCAAGCCUGAUGCAGCCAUGCCGCGUGUAUGAAGAAGGCCUUCGGGUUGUAAAGUACUUUCAGCGGGGAGGAAGGGAGUAAAGUUAAUACCUUUGCUCAUUGACGUUACCCGCAGAAGAAGCACCGGCUAACUCCGUGCCAGCAGCCGCGGUAAUACGGAGGGUGCAAGCGUUAAUCGGAAUUACUGGGCGUAAAGCGCACGCAGGCGGUUUGUUAAGUCAGAUGUGAAAUCCCCGGGCUCAACCUGGGAACUGCAUCUGAUACUGGCAAGCUUGAGUCUCGUAGAGGGGGGUAGAAUUCCAGGUGUAGCGGUGAAAUGCGUAGAGAUCUGGAGGAAUACCGGUGGCGAAGGCGGCCCCCUGGACGAAGACUGACGCUCAGGUGCGAAAGCGUGGGGGAGCAAACAGGAUUAGAUACCCUGGUAGUCCACGCCGUAAACGAUGUCGACUUGGAGGUUGUGCCCUUGAGGCGUGGCUUCCGGAGCUAACGCGUUAAGUCGACCGCCUGGGGAGUACGGCCGCAAGGUUAAAACUCAAAUGAAUUGACGGGGGCCCGCACAAGCGGUGGAGCAUGUGGUUUAAUUCGAUGCAACGCGAAGAACCUUACCUGGUCUUGACAUCCACAGAACUUUCCAGAGAUGGAUUGGUGCCUUCGGGAACUGUGAGACAGGUGCUGCAUGGCUGUCGUCAGCUCGUGUUGUGAAAUGUUGGGUUAAGUCCCGCAACGAGCGCAACCCUUAUCCUUUGUUGCCAGCGGUCCGGCCGGGAACUCAAAGGAGACUGCCAGUGAUAAACUGGAGGAAGGUGGGGAUGACGUCAAGUCAUCAUGGCCCUUACGACCAGGGCUACACACGUGCUACAAUGGCGCAUACAAAGAGAAGCGACCUCGCGAGAGCAAGCGGACCUCAUAAAGUGCGUCGUAGUCCGGAUUGGAGUCUGCAACUCGACUCCAUGAAGUCGGAAUCGCUAGUAAUCGUGGAUCAGAAUGCCACGGUGAAUACGUUCCCGGGCCUUGUACACACCGCCCGUCACACCAUGGGAGUGGGUUGCAAAAGAAGUAGGUAGCUUAACCUUCGGGAGGGCGCUUACCACUUUGUGAUUCAUGACUGGGGUGAAGUCGUAACAAGGUAGCCGUAG
rnacentral:rRNA from 1 species